AGGGGGCUUAUAAAAAGGAUAGAGAGCAACUUUUUGCUCAAUCAGAUAAUAACAGGACAAGGGGAAAUUUUUUUAAACUAAAAGAGGGGAAAUUUAGAUUAAAAGUUUGGAGAAAACUCUUCAGAGGGUGGUGAGGCCCUGGCACAGGUUGCCCAGAGAAGCUGUGGAUGCCCCAUCCCUGGAGGUGUUCAAGACCAGGCUGGAUUGGGUGUUGGGCAACUUCAUCUAGUGGGUGGCAUCCCUACCUAUUGGGGGGGGGGGGGGGGUUGGAACUAGAGGAUACUUAAGGUCCUUUCCAACCCCAGCCAUUCUAUUUUUCUAUAUUAUGAUUCUAUGAUAUAAGCAUGUAUUCACAUUUAUCUUGAAAGCCCUUUGUGGAUUUAAAGAGUCCUUAAACCAAUUAAUAGAUGCAAAUGCAGGUAAUUUGGAUUAUUACACUAUACACAGUACACAUUAAUAGUAAGGCUGAUAGUCACAGCAAUUAAUUCCAAAGCAACUGAAAGUCGUAGCAAACACUGUGGCAAAGCUCACUUUCAGAUCACUCAUAAAUAGAAGAGAGCAAAUGGAUAAAUCAUUGACCUGUGGGGAGAAAAAAAAAAAAGUUUGCCAGGUUCUCUUAUUGCACUUUUUCUUUCAGCUCCUUCCUUCACUUGUAUCUCACUUACCUUAGGCACAGAAAGACCCACCAUUAUCUCCAGUGAAUGAAUCUGGAAGGAGAUGCUGUUGGCUAUAGCCUAAAUGGAGCUCAUCCAUGAGAGUUUUAAUGUUCUGUCUGAGAGUAGCAGAGGAGCUGCUGAGCUGAGUGAGGUGGUCCCCACCGAGAAUGUCCAGAGCCACCACGAAGGGCCUCCUGGGGUGCAGAAAUCACCACCUGCCUGCCAGUGUCUUGAUUCAGAAGAAGAGUUCUGAUUCGUGAAGAAAAGUGACACCGGCUGACACUGCUUCUCUACCUGUGUGGGUAUUUACCCCAAAGGUCUCCCUUUAAGCAGUCUCCAAAUGCAGUCUUUGUUUCAGUUGUGAGAUGCUAUGAGAUCAGUGUCUGAAGCAGCAUGUCUGACAGGGAAUCUCUGGCUU
rnacentral:lncRNA from 1 species